rnacentral:lncRNA from 1 species
AUGAGAAAAGCCGACUCACUAGAAAAGAGCUUGAUGUUGGGAAAGAUUGAAGGCAAAAGGAGAAGGGGACGACAGAGGGUGAGAUGGUUAGAGAGCAUCACCGACUCAGUGGACGUGCGUCUGAGCAAACUCUGGGAGCUGGUGAAGGACGGGAGGCCUGGCGUGCCGCAGUCCACGGGUUGUGGAGUCGAGACGCCUGAGCGACCGAGCAACAGUGCUAGCAAAGCCAGGGUCAGGGGUGGCCAGACGGCGAGCCAGGGUCAGGGAUGGCCAGACGGCGAGCCAGGGUCAGGGAUGGCCAGACGGCGAGCCAGGGUCAGGGAUGGCCAGACGGCGAGCCAGGGUCAGGGGUGGUCAGACGGCAGCCAGGGUCAGGGGUGGCCAGACGCGAGCCAGGGUCAGGGAUGGCCAGACGGCCAGCCAGGGUCAGGGGCCGAGCCAGGGUCAGGGGCCGAGCCAGGGUCAGGGGCCGAGCCAGGGUCAGGGGUGGCCAGACGGCGAGCCAGGGUCAGGGGCCGAGCCAGGGUCAGGGGUGGUCAGACGGCGAGCCAGGGUCAGGCCGAGCCAGGGUCAGGGGUGGUCAGGCGCGAGCCAGGGUCAGGGGUGGUCAGACGCGAGCCAGGGUCAGGGGUGGCCAGACGCGAGCCAGGGUCAGGGAUGGCCAGACGGCGAGCCAGGUCAGGGGCCGAGCCAGGGUCAGGGGCCGAGCCAGGGUCAGGGGCCGAGCCAGGGUCAGGGGUGGCCAGACGGCGAGCCAGGGUCAGGGGCCGAGCCAGGGUCAGGGGUGGUCAGACGGCCAGCCAGGGUCAGGGGCCGAGCCAGGGUCAGGGGUGGUCAGACGGCAGCCAGGGUCAGGGGUGGUCAGACGCGAGCCAGGGUCAGGGGCCGAGCCAGGGUCAGGGGCCGAGCCAGGGUCAGGGGCCGAGCCAGGGUCAGGGGUGGCCAGACGGCGAGCCAGGGUCAGGGAUGGCCAGACGGCGAGCCAGGGUCAGGGAUGGCCAGACGGCGAGCCAGGGUCAGGGAUGGCCAGACGGCGAGCCAGGGUCAGGGGUGGUCAGACGGCAGCCAGGGUCAGGGGUGGCCAGACGCGAGCCAGGGUCAGGGAUGGCCAGACGGCCAGCCAGGGUCAGGGGCCGAGCCAGGGUCAGGGGCCGAGCCAGGGUCAGGGGCCGAGCCAGGGUCAGGGGUGGCCAGACGGCGAGCCAGGGUCAGGGGCCGAGCCAGGGUCAGGGGUGGUCAGACGGCGAGCCAGGGUCAGGGGCCGAGCCAGGGUCAGGGGCCGAGCCAGGGUCAGGGGCCGAGCCAGGGUCAGGGGUGGCCAGACGGCGAGCCAGGGUCAGGGGCCGAGCCAGGGCCUCCUAG